rnacentral:rRNA from 1 species
GACGAACGCUGGCGGCGUGCUUAACACAUGCAAGUCGAACGAUGAAGCCCAGCUUGCUGGGUGGAAGAGUGGCGAACGGGUGAGUAACACGUGAGUAACCUGCCCUGAACUCUGGGAUAAGCACUGGAAACGGUGUCUAAUACUGGAUACGACCUAUCACCGCAUGGUGUGUGGGUGGAAAGAUUUAUCGGUUCUGGAUGGACUCGCGGCCUAUCAGCUAGAUGGUGAGGUAAUGGCUCACCAUGGCGACGACGGGUAGCCGGCCUGAGAGGGUGACCGGCCACACUGGGACUGAGACACGGCCCAGACUCCUACGGGAGGCUGCAGUGGGGAAUAUUGCACAAUGGGCGCAAGCCUGAUGCAGCAACGCCGCGUGAGGGAUGACGGCCUUCGGGUUGUAAACCUCUUUUAGUAGGGAAGAAGCGAAAGUGACGGUACCUGCAGAAAAAGCACCGGCUAACUACGUG